rnacentral:rRNA from 1 species
GAUGAACGCUGGCGGCGUGCCUAAUACAUGCAAGUCGAGCGAACAGACGAGGAACUUGCUCCUCUGACGUUAGCGGCGGACGGGUGAGUAACACGUGGAUAACCUACCUAUAAGACUGGGAUAACUUCGGGAAACCGGAGCUAAUACCGGAUAAUAUAUUGAACCGCAUGGUUCAAUAGUGAAAGACGGUUUUGCUGUCACUUAUAGAUGGAUCCGCGCCGCAUUAGCUAGUUGGUAAGGUAACGGCUUACCAAGGCAACGAUGCGUAGCCGACCUGAGAGGGUGAUCGGCCACACUGGAACUGAGACACGGUCCAGACUCCUACGGGAGGCAGCAGUAGGGAAUCCUCCGCAAUGGGCGAAAGCUUGACGGAGCAACGCCGCGUGAGUGAUGAAGGUCUUCGGAUCGUAAAACUCUGUUAUUAGGGAAGAACAAAUGUGUAAGUAACUAUGCACGUCUUGACGGUACCUAAUCAGAAAGCCACGGCUAACUACGUG